rnacentral:rRNA from 1 species
GACGAACGCUGGCGGCGUGCUUAACACAUGCAAGUCGAACGGAAAGGCCCUGCUUUUGUGGGGUGCUCGAGUGGCGAACGGGUGAGUAACAAGUGAGUAACCUGCCCCUGACUUUGGGAUAACUUCAGGAAACUGGGGCUAAUACCGGAUAGGAGCUCCUGCUGCAUGGUGGGGGGUGGAAAGUUUCGGCGGUUGGGGAUGGACUCGCGGCUUAUCAGCUUGUUGGUGGGGUAGUGGCUUACCAAGGCUUUGACGGGUAGCCGGCCUGAGAGGGUGACCGGCCACAUUGGGACUGAGAUACGGCCCAGACUCCUACGGGAGGCAGCAGUGGGGAAUAUUGCACAAUGGGCGGAAGCCUGAUGCAGCAACGCCGCGUGCGGGAUGACGGCCUUCGGGUUGUAAACCGCUUUCGCCUGUGACGAAGCGUGAGUGACGGUAAUGGGUAAAGAAGCACCGGCUAACUACGUG